AGCCUGGAGAGCUGUAAUUCUAGGUGAGACCUGCCCAAUGCUUAUAGUUAAUGGCCGCAGUACCCUGACUGUGCUAAGGUAGCGUAAUCAGUUGGCUUUUAAAUGGAGUCGUGUAUGAAUGGAUUUACGGGGUUGAGCUGUCUCUUUCAAGUUCUAUUGAAUUUUCUUAACAGGGUGAAAAUACCCUCGAUUUAGAUAAAGGACGAUAAGACCCUUGGAGUUUUUACUAAUACAUCUUAUUGAUUUUUGUGUUUUUGCUGGGGCGGCAUAGAGGUAAGAACUAACCCUCUUUCACAUAUAAGCCGAAUGUUUUAAGAAAAAUUAAACUACCCGAGGGAUAACAGCAUAAUUCUUAAUAGAGUUUGUGACCUCGAUGUUGGACUAGGGAUUAGCUGGGCUAGCCGCCCAGAUUUAUAGUUCUGUUCGAACUACAACCCC
rnacentral:rRNA from 1 species